rnacentral:rRNA from 1 species
AUGGAGGCCACGGAGGGCGCCGCCGCAGUGCGUGGCCACGAGGGGUUCCGGUUCGAGGCGAUCCCGGACGGGCUGGUGGAAGCUGACCGGGACGCCGAGGACUACGACCUCAGGCUGUCUGCCGCCACGAGCCAGCGUUCCACGGAGCCGCUGAAGGAGCUCCUCCUGUGGCUCAACGGCACCCCUGACGUGCCGCCGGUGACGUGCGUGCUGCCGACGUCGCUGAUGAGCUUCGCUCUGGACAUGGCGCGGGAGCUGGGCGUGCCGAGCAUGGUGCUUUGGGCUUGCAGCGCAGCAUCGCUGAUGACUCAAAUGCGGCUCCGGGAGCUAAAUGAAAGAGGCUAUGUGCCACUCAAAGACGAGAGCUGCUUGACGAACGGACACCUGAGUAGAACGGUCAUCGACUGGAUCCCGGGCAUGCCGCCGAUCAGCCUCGGAGACACCUCAAGCUUCGUCCGCACAACCGACCCGGACGACUUCGGCCUCCGUUUCAACAUCGUGGAGGCCAACGGCUGCACCAAGGCCGGCGCGCUCAUCCUCAACACCUUCGACGACCUAGAAGCCGACGUCCUCGCCGCUCUCCGCGCCGAAUACCCGCGCAUCUACACUGUCGGUCCCCUAGGCCCCCUCCUCAACCACCACCUAAGGCCAAGGGACGACGACGCCUCCGGCUCCGCCAGCGGCCUGAGCCUGUGGAAGCAGGACAACGAGUGCCUCGCGUGGUUGGACACGCAACAAUCGGGCUCCAUCGUGUACGCCAACUUUGGCAGCCUUACGGUCCUCUCCACCGACCAGCUCGCCGAGUUCGCGUGGGGCCUCGCCGCCAGCGGCCAACCGUUUCUCUGGUCCAUCAGGGACAACCUCGUCCCCGGCGCCGGCGCCGGCGCUGGCUUGAGCUCACUGCCGGCGGAGUUCGUCGCGGCGACUGCAGGGCGGUGCUUCCUGACCACGUGGUGCCCGCAGGAUCAGGUGCUAGGGCACCCGGCCGUGGGGUGCUUCCUGACGCAUAACGGGUGGAACUCGACCUGCGAGAGCGUGGCCGCCGGAGUGCCGAUGGUGUGCUGGCCGGGGUUCGCCGACCAGUACACCAACUGCAAGUACGCCUGCGAGGUGUGGGCCGUGGGCGUCCGGCUUGACGACGAGGUGAGGAGGGAGCAGGUGGCUAGCCACGUCAGGCAUGCGAUGAAGGCGAAGGACAUGCAGGAGAGCGCGGCUGGGUGGAAGGUCAAGGCGGAGGAGGCCGUGGCGCCCGGCGGGGUGUCUUGGGAGAACCUGCGGAGCAUGGUCAGAGAGCUCGGCUCUGUCAAUGCUGAAGCCUGA